rnacentral:misc_RNA from 1 species
GAUGAAGAACGCAGCGAAAUGCGAUAAGUAAUGUGAAUUGCAGAAUUCAGUGAAUCAUCGAAUCUUUGAACGCACAUUGCGCCCGCCAGUAUUCUGGCGGGCAUGCCUGUUCGAGCGUCAUUUCCACCAUCAGGCCCCCGGGCCUGUGUUGGGGACCUGCGGCUGCCCGCAGGCCCCGAAAUUCAGUGGCGGUCGCGCCGUAGCAACCGAGCGUAGUAACUAAAACGUCUCGCUCUGGCUCGCUGGGCGCGCUCCGGCCGUAAAACACGCCCCCUUUUCGCAAAGGUUGACCUCGGAUCAGGUAGGAAUACCCGCUGAACUUAAGCAUAUCAAUAAGCGGAGGA